CAGUCGCCGCGGGAACACGAGGGGUGCAAGCGUUACUCGGAAUUACUGGGCGUAAAGCGUGCGUAGGUGGUGGUUUAAGUCCGUUGUGAAAGCCCUGGGCUCAACCUGGGAAUUGCAGUGGAUACUGGAUCACUAGAGUGUGGUAGAGGAUAGUGGAAUUUCCGGUGUAGCAGUGAAAUGCGUAGAGAUCGGAAGGAACAUCUGUGGCGAAGGCGACUAUCUGGGCCAACACUGACACUGAGGCACGAAAGCGUGGGGAGCAAACAGGAUUAGAUACCCCGGUAGUCCCUGUCUCUUAUAA
rnacentral:rRNA from 1 species